GAUGAAGAACGCAGCGAAAUGCGAUACGUAAUGUGAAUUGCAGAAUUCAGUGAAUCAUCGAAUCUUUGAACGCAUAUUGCGCUCUCUGGUAUUCCGGAGAGCAUGCUUGUUUGAGUAUCAGUAAACACCUCAACUCCCUUUUCUUUUUUGAAAUUGGAGCUGGACUUGAGUGAUCCCAACGCUUUCUUCCAAGAAAGUGGCGGGUUGCUUGAAAUGCAGGUGCAGCUGAACUUUUCUCUGAGCUAUAAGCAUAUCUAUUUAGUCUGCCUAAAAAACAGAUUAUUACCUUUGCUGCAGCUAACAUAAAGGAGACUAGUUCUUGUGCUGACUGAUGCAGGAUUCACAGAGACAGCUUCGGCUGACUUUGUAAACUCGAUCUCAAAUCAAGUAAGACUACCCGCUGAACUUAAGCAUAUCAAUAAGCGGGGA
rnacentral:misc_RNA from 1 species